AGCCAUGCAUGUCUAAGUUCAUACAGUGCUACUGUGAGACUGCGGAAGGCUCAGUAUAUCAGUUAUAAUCUAUUUGAUUGUUCUUCCCAAUGGAUAACCGUGGGAAAUCUAGAGCUAAUACAUGCAAUUACUUGGAURACGCAAGUUGUUCAAAGCAUUUAUUAGAUUAAAACCAACUUUGUUAGGGGGCAACCUCUAACACAAGGUGAAUCUAGAUAACUUUGCUGAUCGUAUGGCCUUGUGCCGGCGACGUUUCAAUUGAAUUUCUGCCCUAUCAACUUGUUGGUAAGGUAGUGGCUUACCAAGGUUACAACGGGUAACGGGGAAUCAGGGUUCGAUUCCGGAGAGGGAGCCUGAGAAAUGGCUACCACAUCCAAGGGAGGCAGCAGGCGCGCAAAUUACCCAAUCCAAAUACUGGGAGGUGGUGACGAGAAAUACUAGAUGGUUUCCUAUUGGAUACCAUACUGGAAUGGACGUAACUUAAGCAAUUCGAUGAGGAACAACUGGAGGGCAAGUCUGGUGCCAGCAGCCGCGGUAAUUCCAGCUCCAGUAGUGUAUUUUAAAGUUGCUGCGUUUAAAACGCUCGUAGUUGGAUUACGCAGUGCAAGUUAGUAGAUUGGCGCAGUAGUACAUUAAAUCUGGUCAGUUCUUCAUGUUCUGUGGUUAAACCCGGAAUACUGAGGGGCUGAUCAGAGUGCUACGUGUCGAUUAUAAGCUAACUUGUACUACUUACGCGUGAGGAUGGUAGUUGAUCUUUAGUGUAUCGACUAUUGUGUCUCACGGAGUGUGCCUUGAAUAAAUCAGAGUGCUUAAUACAGGCUUUUGCUUGAAUGUUAAUAGCAUGGAACGAACAAUUGUGUUUAUGCGUGCUAUAAAAGUGUUUUGGUGGAUUYAUAUUUAUCUUUGCAUUUUUAUAGUACGCUGCACCAACCGCCAAUACAGGAUGUUGGUUUCCGUAUUGGGGUGAUGAUUAAAAGGAGCGGUUGGGGGCAUUAGUAUUCUGGCGCGAGAGGUGAAAUUCUUGGACCGCCAGAGGACUAACAAAUGCGAAGGCAUUUGCCAAGACCGUUUCCAUUAAUCAAGAACGAAAGUGAGAGGUUCGAAGACGAUCAGAUACCGUCCUAGUUCUCACUGUAAACUAUGCCGACCCGGGAUCAGCUUUGAGUCAUUUCAAACGCUCGUGGUUGGUCCCCCUGGGAAACCUUAAGUUUUUAGGUUACGGGGGGAGUAUGGUUGCAAGGCUGAAACUUAAAGGAAUUGACGGAAGGGCACCACCAGGGGUGGAGCCUGCGGCUUAAUUUGACUCAACACGGGAAAACUCACCUGGUCAGGACAUCGAAAGGAUAGACAGACUGAUAGAUCUUUCUUGAUACGGUGGAUGGUGGUGCAUGGCCGUUCUUAGUUCGUGGAGUGAUCUGUCAGGUUGAUUCCGGUAACGAACGAGACCAUAAUCUUCAUUUAUGGACUUGGAAAAGAUCAUAGCGGACACGUAUACGGGAAACUGUGUGCGUGAAAACUACGGUUGUAGGCUAGUUGUGUGGGAUUGUAGUUUGGCCGUGUAGAAUUGGGGUUACUCUUGGUUUUAUGCGGUCAGGUUAUAGUUUUGCAUUGCUUCCUUCCAAGUUGACAUUGUAGGGUGAAAGCUCUGCAAUGUGCUAUGAAGAGACAACCAAACAUAUUAGAAAUUGGAGGAAGCGUUUGGCGAUAACAGGUCUGUGAUGCCCUUAGAUGUCCAGGGCCGCACGCGCGCUACAAUGAUAACAACAACGAGUAUCUGGGUCGAAAGACUUGGGUAAUCUUUUCAAUUGUUAUCGUGAUGGGGAUUGAACAUUGCAAUUAUUGUUCAUGAAAGAGGAAUCCCUAGUAAGUGCAUUUCAUUAGAAUGCGCUGAUUAAGUCCCUGCCCUUUGUACACACCGCCCGUCGCUACUACCGAGUGAAUCGUGUCAUAAUGCCUUGGGACUGGACGUCGUUUGGGUUUUCGGACUCGUAAUGAUGCUAGGAUCAAGGUAG
rnacentral:rRNA from 1 species